AUUGAACGCUGGCGGCAGGCCUAACACAUGCAAGUCGAACGAGUGGCGGACGGGUGAGUAAUGUCUGGGAAACUGCCUGAUGGAGGGGGAUAACUACUGGAAACGGUAGCUAAUACCGCAUACCAUCAGAUGUGCCCAGAUGGGAUUAGCUAGUUGGUGGGGUAACGGCUCACCAAGGCGACGAUGCCUAGCUGGGCUGAGAGGAUGACCAGCCACACUGGAACUGUGCAACGGUCCAGACGCCUACGGGAGGCAGCAGUGGGGACUAUGGAACAAUGGGCGCAAUCCUGAUGCAGCCAUGCCGCGUGUAUGAAGAAGGCCUUCGGGUUGUAAAGUACGUUCAGCGGUGAGGCGUUACCCGCAGAAGAAGCACCGGCUAACUCCGUGCCAGCAGCCGCGGUAAUUC
rnacentral:rRNA from 1 species